CACGUAGGGCGCGAGCGUUGUCCGGAAUUAUUGGGCGUAAAGAGCUCGUAGGCGGCCUGUUGCGUCCGCUGUGAAAGCCCGGGGCUUAACCCCGGGUCGGCAGUGGAUACGGGCAGGCUAGAGGUAGGUAGGGGAGAAUGGAAUUCCCGGUGUAGCGGUGAAAUGCGCAGAUAUCAGGAGGAACACCAAUGGCGAAGGCAGCUCGCUGGGACGGUACUGACGCUGAGGCGCGAAAGCGUGGGGAGCAAACAGG
rnacentral:rRNA from 1 species